rnacentral:rRNA from 1 species
UACGUAGGGGGCAAGCGUUAUCCGGAAUUACUGGGUGUAAAGGGUACGUAGGCGGCCCAUUAAGUCAGAUGUGAAAGCCCGGAGCUCAACUCCGGGAUUGCAUUUGAAACUGGUGGGCUAGAGUACAGGAGAGGAAAGUGGAAUUCCUAGUGUAGCGGUGAAAUGCGUAGAUAUUAGGAAGAACACCAGUGGCGAAGGCGGCUUUCUGGACUGUAACUGACGCUGAGGUACGAAAGCGUGGGGAGCGAACAGG